UCUGCUCCUGGGGAUUCGCCCUUCUCACCAGAGCACCGCCAGAAAACCCAGCUGAUAUAUUCUCCCUUUGGAUGAGCAGUGUUCAGGGUAAUGGAGAAGGAAAAGCUGUGUGCAUGUGCAGGAUGUGAGGCUAUACGUUGACUGUGAACA